GCAGCAUCAGGAUGAAGUCUCAUGCUCGGCUCCUCUGGCUCGUCCUGCUCUGGAUUCAGGGCUCCAGCGGGGACAUCGUGAUGAACCAGACUCCAGAGUCCCUGGCAGUGUCGCCAGGAGACACCGUCACCAUCACCUGCAAAGCCGUUACAUACAGUGGUAGCAACGUAGCCUGGUUCCAACAGAAAUCAGGACAACCUCCUAAGCUUCUUAUCUACAGCACAAACUCGCGGCCCUCCGGGAUCCCUGACCGGUUCAGUGGCACUAGGUCGGGCAGUGACUACACUCUCACCAUCAGCCAGGUGGAAGUAGGCGAUGCUGGCGACUAUUACUGUCAGCAGUAUAGCAGUUUCCCUCUCACACAGUGAUACAGACCACGACAAAAACCUCCCUGCUGGGUUCAGCUUCUCUUGCUCACUCAAACAGCUGCAUCCUGCACACACUCACUGCCUCACACCAGUUACUUCUUGCUCAUAUGGGCUGGAUCUGCCAGCCUGUGAGCACUUCAUCCUAUGCUUCACUCUCUCCCUAGUUCAUUGACUCUGCCAUGUUGUGUUCUGGCUCAUUGCACGGUGCCCAGCACUUCUUCCCUCUGUGUCUAAGGCAUUUUGGCUCCAUAA